GACGAACGCUGGCGGCGUGCUUAACACAUGCAAGUCGAACGGAAAGGCCCUGCUUUUGUGGGGUGCUCGAGUGGCGAACGGGUGAGUAACACGUGUGUAACCUGCCCUUGACUUUGGGAUAACUUCAGGAAACUGGGGCUAAUACCGGAUAGGAGCUCCUGCUGCAUGGUGGGGGUUGGAAAGUUUCGGCGGUUGGGGAUGGACUCGCGGCUUAUCAGCUUGUUGGUGGGGUAGUGGCUUACCAAGGCUUUGACGGGUAGCCGGCCUGAGAGGGUGACCGGCCACAUUGGGACUGAGAUACGGCCCAGACUCCUACGGGAGGCAGCAGUGGGGAAUAUUGCACAAUGGGCGGAAGCCUGAUGCAGCAACGCCGCGUGCGGGAUGACGGCCUUCGGGUUGUAAACCGCUUUCGCCUGUGACGAGGCGUGAGUGACGGUAAUGGGUAAAGAAGCACCGGCUAACUACGUG
rnacentral:rRNA from 1 species